rnacentral:rRNA from 1 species
CCCCAGCGCCACAAGUGGUUCUCACGAUUAUUGGGCCUAAAGCGUUCGUAGCCGGUUUGGUAAAUCUCUUGUGAAAUUGUUCGGCUUAACCGGACAGCGUGCAGGAGACACUGCUAGACUCGAGACCGGGAGGCGUAUGAAGUAUUCCAUGGGGACUGGUAAAAUGGGAUAAUCCAUGGAAGACUACCGAUGGCGAAGGCAUCAUACGAGAACGGAUCUGACGGUGAGGAACGAAAGCCAGGGGAGCGAACCGG